rnacentral:rRNA from 1 species
UGGGGAAUAUUGCACAAUGGGGGAAACCCUGAUGCAGCGACGCCGCGUGAGCGAUGAAGGCUUUCGAGUCGUAAAGCUCUGUCCUAUGGGAAGAUAAUGACGGUACCAUAGAAGAAAGCCCCGGCUAAUUACGUGCCAGCAGCCGCGGUAAUACGUAAGGGGCGAGCGUUGUCCGGAAUUAUUGGGCGUAAAGAGUGCGUAGGCGGCAAAUUAAGUCAGAUGUGAAAACUAAGGGCUCAACCCAUAGAUUGCAUCUGAAACCGAUAUGCUUGAGUCAAGGAGAGGAAAGUGGAAUUCCUAGUGUAGCGGUGGAAUGCGUAGAUAUUAGGAGGAAUACCGGUGGCGAAGGCGACUUUCUGGACUUGAACUGACGCUGAGGCACGAAAGCGUGGGGAGCAAACAGG